rnacentral:misc_RNA from 1 species
GAUGAAGAACGCAGCGAAAUGCGAUAAGUAAUGUAAAUUGCAGAAUUCAGUGAAUCAUCGAAUCUUUGAACGCACAUUGCGCCCGCCAGUAUUCUGGCGGGCAUGCCUGUUCGAGCGUCAUUACAACCCUCAGGCCCCCGGGCCUGGCGUUGGGGAUCGGCGGAGCCCCCCGUGGGCACACGCCGUCCCCCAAAUGCAGUGGCGGUCCCGCCGCAGCUUCCAUCGCGUAGUAGCUAACACCUCGCGACUGGAGAGCGGCGCGGCCACGCCGUAAAACACCCAACUCUUCUGAAGUUGACCUCGAAUCAGGUAGGAAUACCCGCUGAACUUAAGCAUAUCAAUAAGCGGAGGA